rnacentral:rRNA from 1 species
GACGAACGCUGGCGGCGUGCUUAACACAUGCAAGUCGAACGGAAAGACCCUGCUUUUGUGGGGUGCUCGAGUGGCGAACGGGUGAGUAACACGUGAGUAACCUGCCCUUGACUUUGGGAUAACUUCAGGAAACUGGGGCUAAUACCGGAUAGGAGCUCCUGCUGCAUGGUGGGGGUUGGAAAGUUUCGGCGGUUGGGGAUGGACUCGCGGCUUAUCAGCUUGUUGGUGGGGUAGUGGCUUACCAAGGCUUUGACGGGUAGCCGGCCUGAGAGGGUGACCGGCCACAUUGGGACUGAGAUACGGCCCAGACUCCUACGGGGGGCAGCGGUGGGGAAUAUUGCACAGUGGGCGGACGCCUGAUGCGGCAGCGCCGCGUGCGGGAUGACGGCCUUCGGGUUGUAAACCGCUUUCGCCUGUGACGAAGCGUGAGUGACGGUAAUGGGUAAAGAAGCACCGGCUAACUACGUG